GACCUUGAAUCAGGUAGGGAUACCCGCUGAACUUAAGCAUAUCAAUA
rnacentral:rRNA from 1 species